GAAAAGAAUAUAAGGCAAAGCUAAAGGCGGAUAGGAAGCACGAGGGCAUGACUGAGGAGGAGGUGGCCCGUGUUUGUCCUCCAGAUGUAAUCUCUCAUCAGUGGAGGGAGCUUGUCCACUACUGGUUUUCUGAGAGAGCUCAGACAUAUUCCAAUAUUGGUAGAGCUGCUCGAGCAUCACAGAUUGUUUCUCACACUUCAGGCUCCAUGAGUUAUGCGAGGCGUAGAGCUGAAUUCAUGGAUGAUAAUGGGAGGGAGCCUGGUAGGGUGG